UAAUUCCGCUGCUGUUUUGGCAACUCCACCACCAAUUUUACCUGCAAUUCGUCGUCUCCUGCGAGCAAGCCCGGAGGUUGUUAGGACGCAGGCGAGCAAAACAGCAAUCACGAAUGUUACUUUGAAGUUCAUCUUUGGUUGUUCAGAAUGAU